UUUGUUUUGGGGUCCUUCUUUGCUGAUCCUCACCAUUCGCACAUCACUAGUGUUUUUUAUUUAUUAUUUUCACUAUUUAAUUUAAAAUAAUCAGUUUUUUUCUUCUUCAUCGAGUUUUUGAAAAUCAGCAGCGAUGAAUCUGGAGUUGCUUGGAGGCGGAUGGCACUCUAGACUGCAUCAGUAUGGCUCUUACUUGCACAUUUAACCACUGGGGGACGCUGUUGGCCGUCGGCUGUAAUGACGGGCGAAUCGUCAUCUGGAACUUUGACGCGUGGCAUCGCCAAAAUGAUGAGCGCCCAGAGUCUGUUCGCUCAGUUGGAGUAGAGACGGACACAAGCUCGUGAGCGCCUCCACAGAUAACACCGUCUCUCAGUGGGACGUCCUGACGGGAGAUUGUGACCAACGAUUCUGAUUCCCGUCACCCAUCCUCAAACUGCAGUGCCAUCUCAGAGACAUGUGGGUCUUAAUUAUUUUGGUUAAUUGAAGGCCUUACAAUGCCAGUGCCUAGCGUGAAGCCUCCACACGUGCUACGUCUCCACGGUAACACGCUCAACAAGUCACGUGGUAAAAUGCGCGGAUUGACGGUCUCAGACGCGGAGGCAACUGAUAUUCGUCCUCCGACACCCGGAUUGAGGCGAGUCACUACGCCACCACGAGGACUUGAGCGCACUUAGUAGAUCCUCGUGGUGGCGCGGUUACUUGAGGAGGUUACCCCAUGUGACUCUACCCUCCCUAGAAACCGGGCCAAUUUGGUUGCUUAGGAGACACGGCUGGAGUUACUCGGCACGUCCUGGAAUCAAACUCGCAACUCUGAGCGUCAAUACUCACUGUGAAUUCUGUUUUAAGUACAUUGAUAAUGUUUUUCAGGAAGUCUCAUCGGCAUACAAGCAGCCUGAAGUGCAGGGUUUUGACUGAAGCUGAAAGAAAACGGCGCCCUCUGUCUGUGUGGAUGAACAUCGCCACCGUUAUGAACUGUAAAGACUGAAUUUGUGUUGCAUUAUUUCUGAAGGAUGUUACAGCUCGAUGAUGCUGCAGUUGGAAGUCGACUGUGUGAUUUUUCAUGCAUAUUAAAUCAGUCAACAUUUUGAUAGAUUUAUGCGCAAAGCAAAACUUAAUUCAAGAUAUGUUCUUAUGCAUGGGCGCUGAAUAUGCGGGGGACGUGCCCCCUCACUUUUGAAGUGAUUGCUACGCCCCUGUUCUUAAGUCAUUGUAUCUUGUUUGAGAUGUUUUUUCUACUGAAAACAGAAAGACUGAUUAAGAAAUGUUUCUCCUUUACAGUGUCAAGAGCAGUCCAGGAAUAAAAUGAUGGAAAUACAAUUCUCCAGGUUGUGUAGUGCACUAACAGUGUCUGUCCAGCAGGGGUCGUCGCUGAUCUAAACAAUUAGACAUUCGUAUCAUUUAGCAUUUUCUGCUGUUGGAUUCCAUUUUGUGUUUUAUUGUGUUAAGAACAUCUAAAGUUUCCAGUUCCUCUGUGAAGAAUUGUUCCUCAUACUGAGUACUGAUAUGAAAUCUGUCUAUCUGUUUGUCAGUCUGAGUUUAACCCUUGUGCGACAUUUGGGACAUUUUUGUCUUUUCGAUCAUUUUGGCUGUUAAUGCCAACGGCAUACAUUUAUUGGACUCUGGGUAUCUCAGCGAGUAUUGACGCUGACUCUCACACCUGGAGUCGCGAGUUUGAAUUCAGGGUGUGCUGAGUGACUCCAGUCAGGUCUCCUAAGCAACCAAAUUGGUCCGGUUGCUAGGGAGGGUAGAGUCACAUGGGGUAACCAAAUUGGUCCGGUUGCUAGGGAG